GUGUCAGCAGCCGCGGUAAUACGGGGGGUGCGAGCGUUGCUCGGAAUUAUUGGGCGUAAAGCGUACGCAGGCGGCCCGACAAGUCGAGUGUGAAAUCCCGGGGCUCAACCCCGGACGUGCAUUCGAAACUGUCGAGCUUGAGUGCGGGAGAGGGAAGCGGAAUUCCUGGUGUAGAGGUGAAAUUCGUAGAUAUCAGGAGGAACACCGGUGGCGAAAGCGGCUUCCUGGCCCGAUACUGACGCUCAGGUACGAAAGCGUGGGGAGCAAACAGGAUUAGAUACCCUGGUAGUCCACGCCGUAAACGAUGAGUGCUAGCUGCUGGGAAUGUUUACCGUCUCAGUGGCGAAGCUAACGCAUUAAGCACUCCGCCUGGGAAGUACGGCCGCAAGGCUAAA
rnacentral:rRNA from 1 species